rnacentral:rRNA from 1 species
CCUACGGGAGGCAGCAGUGGGGAAUUUUGGACAAUGGGCGCAAGCCUGAUCCAGCAAUGCCGCGUGCAGGAUGAAGGCCUUCGGGUUGUAAACUGCUUUUGUACGGAACGAAACGGUCUGCUCUAAUACAGUGGGCUAAUGACGGUACCGUAAGAAUAAGCACCGGCUAACUACGUGCCAGCAGCCGCGGUAAUACGUAGGGUGCGAGCGUUAAUCGGAAUUACUGGGCGUAAAGCGUGCGCAGGCGGUUAUAUAAGACAGAUGUGAAAUCCCCGGGCUCAACCUGGGACCUGCAUUUGUGACUGUAUAGCUAGAGUGCGGCAGAGGGGGAUGGAAUUCCGCGUGUAGCAGUGAAAUGCGUAGAUAUGCGGAGGAACACCGAUGGCGAAGGCAAUCCCCUGGGCCUGCACUGACGCUCAUGCACGAAAGCGUGGGGAGCAAACAGGAUUAGAUACCCUGGUAGUCCACGCCCUAAACGAUGUCAACUGGUUGUUGGGUCUUCACUGACUCAGUAACGAAGCUAACGCGUGAAGUUGACCGCCGUGGGGAGUACGGCCGCGAAGGUUGAAACUCAAAUAAUUGACGGACGAGAGACGNGCGACGGACGACGACGAGGGAGGAGG